UUCGGGGGCGAGUACAGCGGCGGACGGGUGAGUAACACGUGAGCGAUCCACCCCGAGGCGGGGGGCAACCCAGGGAAACCUGGGCUAAUACCGCAUACAGCGGCAGGCAUGGAAGCCUGUCGUGAAAGCUGGCCUCUCCAUGGAAGCUAGCGCCUCUGGACGAGCUCGCGGCCUAUCAGCUGGUUGGUGAGGUAACGGCUCACCAAGGCGAUGACGGGUAGCUGGCGUGAGAGCGCGGUCAGCCACACUGGGACUGAGACACGGCCCAGACUCCUACGGGAGGCAGCAGUGGGGAAUCUUGCGCAAUGGGCGAAAGCCUGACGCAGCGACGCCGCGUGGGGGAGGAAGGCCCUAGGGUUGUAAACCCCUGUCAGGUGGGACGAACCGGGGAUCGGCGAAAGCCGGUUCCUCUGACGGUACCACCAGAGGAAGCUCCGGCUAACUCCGUGCCAGCAGCCGCGGUAAAACGGAGGGAGCAAGCGUUGUUCGGAAUUACUGGGCGUAAAGGGCGCGUAGGCGGCCCUGUAAGUCGCAUGUGAAAGGCCGGGGCUCAACCCCGAGUAUUGCAUGCGAUACUGCAAGGCUAGAGACAGGUAGGGGCGAGCGGAAUUCCCGGUGUAGCGGUGGAAUGCGUAGAUAUCGGGAAGAACACCGGUGGCGAAGGCGGCUCGCUGGGCCUGUUCUGACGCUGAAGCGCGAAAGCGUGGGGAGCGA
rnacentral:rRNA from 1 species